rnacentral:rRNA from 1 species
CUACGGGUUGCACCAGUGAGGAAUAUUGCACAAUGGGGGGAACCCUGAUGCAGCAACGCCGCGUGGAGGAUGACGCAUUUCGGUGUGUAAACUCCUUUUAUAUGUCAAGAAAAUGACGGUAGCAUAUGAAUAAGCACCGGCUAACUCCGUGCCAGCAGCCGCGGUAAUACGGAGGGUGCAGGCGUUACGCGGAAUCACUGGGCGUAAAGGACGCGUAGGCGGGUUGGAAAGUCAGGUGUGAAAUCCUACAGCUUAACUGUAGAACUGCACUUGAAACUUCUAAUCUAGAGUAUGGGAGGGGGAGAUGGAAUUAGUGGUGUAGGGGUAAAAUCCGUAGAUAUCACUAGGAAUACCUAAAGCGAAGGCGAUCUCCUGGAACAUUACUGACGCUAAGGCGUGAAAGCGUGGGGAGCAAACAGGAUUAGAUACCCCCGUAGUC